UUCGCAAUGCCCGAAAGGGUGACGAAGCGACGCCGCGUGUGGGAAGAAGGCCUUCGGGUUGUAAAUCACUGUCGGGAGUUAAGAAGUGCAAGGAUAUGAAUAGUGUCUUUGCUUGACUAAGGCUCCGGAGGAAGCCACGGCUAACUCUGUGCCAGCAGCCGCGGUAAUACAGAGGCGGCAAGCGUUGUUCGGAAUUAUUGGGCGUAAAGAGCACGUAGGCGGCUAUGUAAGUCGGUUGUGAAAGCCUUCCGCUCAACGGGAGAACAGCAUCCGAUACUACAUGGCUUGAGUGCGAGAGGGGAGAGUGGAGCUUCUGGUGGAGCGGUGAAAUGCGUAGAUAUCAGAAGGAACGCCGGCGGCGAAAGCGGCUCUCUGGCCCAUAACUGACGCUGAGUGUGCGAAAGCUAGGGGAGCAAACGGGAUUAGAUACCCCGGUAGUCCUAGCCGUAAACGAUGGGCACUAAGUAGAGGGGUUUU
rnacentral:rRNA from 1 species